GCAAGUCGAACGAGAACGGGAUUGCUUGCAAUCCUUAGUAGAGUGGCGCACGGGUGAGUAACACGUAGAUAAUCUACCUUCAAGCCCGGAAUAACUAUUCGAAAGGAUAGCUAAUACCGGAUAAAGUUUUUACACAUAAGUGUAAUUAUGAAAGAUUGCCUCUUCUUGAAAGCAAUUGUUUGGAGAUGAGUCUGCGGACCAUUAGCUUGUUGGUGGGGUAAAGGCCUACCAAGGCUGCGAUGGUUAGCUGGUCUGAGAGGAUGAUC
rnacentral:rRNA from 1 species